AGUGUUUUCACAGUGCGUUUACAAGUCAGCGUUGGUUAAUCCAAUAAACACAUAGACUUGACCAUAUGGCACACGAAGCUAAUGUUAGCUCAAGUAGGUUAACGAAAAAACUACAGCAAGU